rnacentral:other from 1 species
UUCUGCGGUGCUCGUUAGCGGUUAAGAUCUCCUUGAGCCUAAUAUGUAGCCGGGGAGUUGGCUUGUCAGGCCAGUGAGCAUGUCCGCCACGUGUGGAAAGCCUUAGGUCUGACACUCGCUCCCACUUGAACCUCCGGUUCAAGGGCAACAACUGCGACGGUACCUGCGGAA